UUCCGGUUGAUCCUGCCGGAGGCCAUUGCUAUCGGAGUUCGAUUUAGCCAUGCUAGUCGCACGGGUUUAGACCCGUGGCGAAAAGCUCAGUAACACGUGGCCAAACUACCCUAUAGAUCGGAAUAACCUCGGGAAACUGAGGCUAAUGCCGAAUACCGCUCCUGCACUGGGAUGUGCGGAGCUCGAAACGCUCCGGCGCUAUAGGAUGUGGCUGCGGCCGAUUAGGUUGACGGUGGGGUAACGGCCCACCGUGCCUAUAAUCGGUACGGGUUGUGAGAGCAAGAGCCCGGAGACGGUAUCUGAGACAAGAUACCGGGCCCUACGGGGCGCAGCAGGCGCGAAAACUUUACACUGCACGAGAGUGCGAUAAGGGAACUCCGAGUGCGAGGGCAUAGAGCCCUCGCUUUUGUACACCGUAAGGUGGUGUACGAAUAAGGGCUGGGCAAGACCGGUGCCAGCCGCCGCGGUAAUACCGGCAGCCCAAGUGAUGGCCGAUAUUAUUGGGCCUAAAGCGUCCGUAGCUGGCCGGACAAGUCCGUUGGGAAAUCCGCGCGCUCAACGCGCGGGCGUCCAGCGGAAACUGUCCGGCUUGGGGCCGGAAGACCUGAGGGGUACGUCCGGGGUAGGAGUGAAAUCCUGUAAUCUCGGACGGACCGCCUGUGGCGAAAGCGCCUCAGGAAGACGGACCCGACAGUGAGGGACGAAAGCCAGGGUCUCGAACCGGAUUAGAUACCCGGGUAGUCCUGGCUGUAAACGAUGUCCGCUAGGUGUGGCGCAGGCUACGAGCCUGCGCUGUGCCGUAGGGAGGCCGUGAAGCGGACCGCCUGGGAAGUACGUCUGCAAGGAUGAAACUUAAAGGAAUUGGCGGGGGAGCACUACAACCGGAGGAGCCUGCGGUUUAAUUGGAUUCAACGCCGGG
rnacentral:rRNA from 1 species